rnacentral:rRNA from 1 species
UGAACGCUAGCGGCAGGCCUAAUACAUGCAAGUCGAACGGUGUCUUCGGACAUAGUGGCGCACGGGUGCGUAACACGUAUGCAACCUACCUUACAUUGGGGGAUAGCCUUUCGAAAGGGAGAUUAAUACCGCAUAAGACAGUAACUGGGCAUCCAGUAGCUGUUAAAGAUUUAUCGAUGUAAGAUGGGCAUGCGUCCAAUUAGUUAGUUGGCGAGGUAAUGGCUCACCAAGACUUUGAUUGGUAGGGGAACUGAGAGGUCAAUCCCCCACACUGGCACUGAGAUACGGGCCAGACUCCUACGGGAGGCAGCAGUAGGGAAUAUUGGGCAAUGGACGCAAGUCUGACCCAGCCAUGCCGCGUGCAGGAUGAAGGCGUUAUGCGUUGUAAACUGCUUUUAUACAGGAAGAAACGACUCUUGCGAGAGGCAUUGACGGUACUGUAUGAAUAAGCACCGGCUAACUCCGUGCCAGGAG